rnacentral:rRNA from 1 species
GAUGAACGCUGGCGGCGUGCCUAAUACAUGCAAGUCGAACGAAGCCUUCGGGCUUAGUGGCGGACGGGUGAGUAGCACGUUGGUACCUGCCUCGAAGUGGGGAAUAACUGGCCGAAAGGUCGGCUAAUACCGCAUGUGAUCGCAAGAUCAAAGUCGUAAGACGCUUCGAGAGGGGCCUGCGUCCCAUUAGCUAGUUGGUAGGGUAAUGGCCUACCAAGGCGACGAUGGGUAGCUGGAUCGAGAGGUUGACCAGCCACACUGGGACUGAGAUACGGCCCAGACUCCUACGGGAGGCAGCAGGAAGGAAUCUUCCACAAUGGACGAAAUUCUGAUGGAGCAACGCCGCGUGCAGGAUGACGGCCUUCGGGUUGUAAGCUGCUUUUAUAUGGGAAGAUUAUGACGGUACCAUAUGAAUAAGGACCGGCUAACUACGUGCCAGCCGCCGCGGUAA